AGGAUUUUCGAAGUUAUUGUUUCUGCUUCCAAUGAUGAAUGGUUCUUCAGCAAACCUGGUGGUCAUUGCAACAUUAGUGUUGCUUCUUAUGGGGGAUCGCCUAGCAACUUGUGGACUUCUUCCUCACGUGAUAUUGAUCAACAAGUAAUACCCGUUCGCCGCAGCCUUAGGCCAGUGACUGGGUCGAAGCCGUCUUCACCUGAUAGAAAUCCAAGACCAGGAAUGGGCCGUUAGAAUUUAGUGUUGUGUUGUAAGUUAUUGGCCUAGUUUUACAUUAUAUUGGACUUGGGAGUCUUUGUACAAGCUACUUAGAGCUGGGUUUUAUUUGUUAAUUUAGUCAGUUUUUUCGUUUUCCCACGGGAGCUGAAAAAAAUUGGGUUUCUUAUGUUAAACAAAAUUGAAUAUCCUUAUUCAAUGUUUUCAUGUUA